CUAGACAGAGGAUGAAAUGCAGUAGUUCACCAACAUGUUAUGUUUCUAUGAACAACCAGAUGCAAACGUCCUGGCAUUCAUCCUGCCUGCUUGCUGUUUGUACCAUCUCCGUGGUAGCAACCAUCCAAGCUGCUGGAAGCACAGACUGAGCUCUAUGAGUCAAUUAUUUUAUAUACCUGGGAACGUGCAAGCCUUCCUGUCACUCUUUGAUGUUAAUAUGUAGACAGUUUGCAGCCUAGGCAACAUGGGAAAAGGUGAAACACUUCACUCAGAGCGCGGAACAAUGGAAGUCCCUGGAAGGAAAGGCUUGAAAGAGAAAACCAAGUGGCUUCUGAGAUAUUCGAAAGUCCAGUUGUUUUUCCUUUUUAAAAUUUUCAGAUGCUCUUUGAUGCCAUUUCAUAAAGCCUGUGAUUGGGCCAAAAGUCUUAGUUCACCAUGUACCACAAAUAGUGUACUCUAUAUAGCAUAUGCUUGACUAAGAAAAAAUAAAGAUUUAGAAAUAGA
rnacentral:sRNA from 1 species